CUUCCUUCUCCUCCAUCGACGGCGUCGACAUCCCCUACUCCUCCAUUGACGGCGACGGCAUCGCCUUCUCCUCCAUCGACAGCGACGCUCUGCUCCUCUUCCUCCCCACCACCGCUGCUGCCGUCGCUGACUCCUUCCUCUCCCGCAGAGAGAAGUGAGAUGGCUAGCUUGGAAGGUUUUGAGUUCUUCGAGAUCGUAAUUGAGAAAUCUUGCAGUAUGCAGUAGUGGCACCGGCGAUUCCACAGCUGGGCGACAUGACCAUGUUAAUUGUGGUAGAGGAGUACAUCUGCGUCGGCAUUUGCCACUCUGAGCGCAUCAGGAUGAUGAAGGAGAAUAAGGAGAAGAACGAGUGAAGAUGUUAAGAAAUCAAGUGGGAAUGUUAAGUGGCAAUGCCAGGCUUAGUUUGAAUUUUGUGCACGCUUAUGCAUGCUUAAGUAUGAAUAUUACGUUUCUUAAUUAUGAAUAUUCAGUUUGGUAAUUUAUGGUAAUUGAUAUUUUG